rnacentral:rRNA from 1 species
CUACGAUUGAUGGCUUAGUGAGGCCUUCGGAUUGGUUUAAAGAAGGGGGCAACUCCAUCUUGGAACCGAGAAGUUGGUCAAACUUGGUCAUUUAGAGGAAGUAAAAGUCGUAACAAGGUUUCCGUAGGUGAACCUGCGGAAGGAUCAUUACAGUAUUUGGACGUAAUUCUUCUGGUAUCUUGCCAGCGCUUAAUUGCGCGGCGAGUGCUAUUAGAAGUCCAUAAGUUCUUACACACAGUGUUUUUUGUUUGUGAAAAAAAAUUACUUUGGUCUGGAGCUAGAAAUAGUUUUGGGCCAGAGGACAACCUAACUUCAAUUUAUAUUGAAUUGUUUUUAAAUUUAUUUGUCAAAUUAUUGAUAUUAAUCAAAAAUCUUCAAAACUUUCAACAACGGAUCUCUUGGUUCUCGCAUCGAUGAAGAACGCAGCGAAAUGCGAUAAGUAAUAUGAAUUGCAGAUUUUCGUGAAUCAUCGAAUCUUUGAACGCACAUUGCGCCCUUUGGUAUUCCAAAGGGCAUGCCUGUUUGAGCGUCAUUUCUCUCUCAAACCGCAAGGUUUGGUGUUGAGCGAUAUAGAUAUUCAGUAUCUAUUUGCUUGAAAUGGAUUGGCAUGAGUAUUUACAGUAGAUAAAUGCCGUUUGACUCUUCAAUGUAUUAGGUCUAACCAACUCGUUGAAACAGUUAGCGGUAGUAUCUGUGUAAAAGAGGCUCGGCCUUACAACAAUCUACAAAGUUGACCUCAAAUCAGGUAGAUUCGAAUAUCAAUAAGCGGAGGAAAAGAAACCAACAGGGAUUGCCUUAGUAACGGCGAGUGAAGCGGCAAAAGCUCAAAUUUGAAAUCUGGCGUCUUCGGCGUCCGAGUUGUAAUUUGAAGAAGGCUACUUUGGAGCUGGAGUUUGUCUAAGUUCCUUGGAACAGGACGUCACAGAGGGUGAGAAUCCCGUGAGAUAAGCUUCCCAGUUCUAUGUAAAGUGCUUUCGAAGAGUCGAGUUGUUUGGGAAUGCAGCUCUAAGUGGGUGGUAAAUUCCAUCUAAAGCUAAAUAUUGGCGAGAGACCGAUAGCGAACAAGUACAGUGAUGGAAAGAUGAAAAGAACUUUGAAAAGAGAGUGAAAAAGUACGUGAAAUUGUUGAAAGGGAAGGGCUUGAGAUCAGACAUGGUAUUUUGUAAACCUUCUCUCUCGUGGAGGGGGCCCCUUGCAGUUUACUGGGCCAGCAUCAGUUUGGGCGGUAGGAUAAUGACUAAGGAAUGUGACUUGCCUUCGGGGAAGUGUUAUAGCCUUGGUUGAUACUGCCAGCCUAGACUGAGGACCGCGUCUUGACAAGGA